UCAAGAGUACGUGAAACCGUUCAGGGGUAAACCUGAGAAACCCAAAAGAUCGAAUGGGGAGAUUCAUCGUCAGCCGAGUUGGCUUGCGUGUGGCUCGCGAUGCUUGUCGUUUGGCGACGGGCACGCGGCGCUGCGUCAUGUCCAGCGCGGUCGGCGUGCACUUCUCCCCUGGUAGGACGUCGCGACCCGUUGAGUGUCGUCUACGGCCCGCGAGGUUGCCUGUCGCGGCGCGUUCGCGCGCUCGCGGCAGACCCGCGUCGCCCGGCCGACUGCUCGGCGGUAGAGAUCGCUUCACGGUAAUGGGCCGCACUGCGUGCGUUAGGCUCGUCGGCAGGUAAGCCUCGCUCGGAUACGGACCUAGUGCCGUUGUCGGGUGCUUGGCCGGCCUUAGUCGACGAUGUCCUCGGACGGGCUCGUUCAAGAAUUACGCUACCGGUCAGCGACGCUACUGCUUUGGGUACUUUCAGGACCCGUCUUGAAACACGGACCAAGGAGUCUAACAUGUGCGCGAGUCAUUGGGACUUAAAGCCUAAAGGCGCAAUGAAAGUGAAGGUCCGCUUAUGCGACCGAGGGAGGA
rnacentral:rRNA from 1 species